ensembl:lincRNA uncharacterized LOC102009847
ACUCUUUCUAGUCUAACAAGGUUCCUACCAUGUCUCUGUAUAAACAGCUGCCUAAUGAGGUAACUGGUACAGGAAUUCUGACAGGCAGUGGAUCAGAGUCAGGAAGCCUACCUGCUCUCCCCCAAGAUGUAUCACUGUUUCUAGGUGUUUUCAAGCAGCAAAACAAGAGAAGUCCAAGCCUAAAGUCCUCAGAACUGGAGAAGCCAAUAGUGAAAAUCUCACUCUGAGGCCGGAGGCCUGAGACUCUUCAAGAGCAGAUGGGCAACGGUGUAAUUCCUGAAGUCUAGAUGGUGAACCCGAAGCUCUCAUGUACAAGGGCGGGAGAAAUGCCCCAGCUCCAGAAGAGAGAGUAAAUUUGCUCUUCCUCUACCUGUGUGCUCUGUCUGCGUCUGCAGCAGUGAGGGCGCUGCCUGCCCAGCUUGAUGGUGGGUCUUCUACAGUCUGCUGACUCUCAUGCCGAUCUCCCCUAGAAGCAGCCUCAGACACACAAAUAAAAAUACUGCUCUAUCAUCUUUUAAGUGUCCCUUAGUCAAGUUUGUACCUA